rnacentral:rRNA from 1 species
CAACCUGCCCACCACUUGGGGAUAACCUUGCGAAAGUAAGACUAAUACCCAAUGACGUUUCUAGAAGACAUCUGAAAGGGAUUAAAGAUUUAUCGGUGAUGGAUGGGGAUGCGUCUGAUUAGCUUGUUGGCGGGGUAACGGCCCACCAAGGCGACGAUCAGUAGGGGUUCUGAGAGGAAGGUCCCCCACAUUGGAACUGAGACACGGUCCAAACUCCUACGGGAGGCAGCAGUGAGGAAUAUUGGUCAAUGGGCGAGAGCCUGAACCAGCCAAGUAGCGUGCAGGAUGACGGCCCUAUGGGUUGUAAACUGCUUUUAUAAGGGAAUAAAGUGAGUCUCGUGAGACUUUUUGCAUGUACCUUAUGAAUAAGGACCGGCUAAUUCCGUGCCAGCAGCCGCGGUAAUACGGAAGGUCCGGGCGUUAUCCGGAUUUAUUGGGUUUAAAGGGAGCGUAGGCCGGAGAUUAAGCGUGUUGUGAAAUGUAGACGCUCAACGUCUGCACUGCAGCGCGAACUGGUUUCCUUGAGUACGCACAAAGUGGGCGGAAUUCGUGGUGUAGCGGUGAAAUGCUUAGAUAUCACGAAGAACUCCGAUUGCGAAGGCAGCUCACUGGAGCGCAACUGACGCUGAAGCUCGAAAGUGCGGGUAUCGAACAGGAUUAGAUACCCUGGUAGUCCGCACGGUAAACGAUGGAUGCCCGCUGUUGGUCUGAACAGGUCAGCGGUCAAGCGAAAGCAUUAAGCAUCCCACCUGGGGAGUA